CCCCUCCUCUUCUUGUGUGGAACCUAGGAUUCGAGCUGUGGGCAGAAAGUGCUCUAGCAGGGACUCUGGCUUUGAAAGAGUCCCUUUUUCCUCCUUUUCUUCCUUUACACCCAAUAAAACCUGUCUUACCCUUCAAACUGUCUGCACGCCUGAAUUUUUAUGGCUGUGGGACAAAGGACCUCAUCUUUAGCUGAACUAAGGAAAAAGUCCUGCAACAUUUUUGGCGUGCAACGUAGGGACUUGAGAAGCGGUCAUCAAACUCCAAGUGGCCAUGCAACCAGAGCCUCUGAUGAUGGCCCCUUCUGCUGGGAACCUUACACAGGCCUCUGAGGGAGCUUUAACUGCCGUUUCCCCAAAACAGCACCCCUGUCAGCAGGAAGCAGUUAAGAUCGGUCUUCAUACUUAUCCUUAUUCUAAGGGCAGUUGGAUGUGCUUCUUUAGAGGGGCGAAUGAGGCAGCCAAGUGGGAGGGGGUCCCUGGAAAAACUCCAACCAGCCUGCACACUGGGGUGGAGCCUUGGGAAGUUCAUGCCAUUUGCAACAGGGAGGUGCCUGACUCCUUCUCUCUGUGUGGAACCUGGGAUUCAAGUUGCGAGCGGGAAGCGCUCUAGCAGGGACUCUGGCCUUGUGAGAGUCCCUGUUUCCCCCCUUUCUUUCUUUACAUCCAAUAAAACCCUGUCUUACCAUUCAAA